rfam:Equus caballus chromosome 10, whole genome shotgun sequence.
GAUUUGGCUCUAUUAAGAGCUACAUUAAAAAAAAAUAAAAUUUCUA